rnacentral:misc_RNA from 1 species
UCUGGAACACAGUAGCACUUACUU